rnacentral:lncRNA from 1 species
AUUAUAAAGCCCUAUAAACUCCUACCACUGCAUUCUAGUGUUGCUGAUAAUUGCUUGUCCGUAUGCGCUCCCACCCAUACAGCAUUGCUUUCUGAGCCGAAUGCUUUUUCUGCUUCCUCUGACUUAAACGAUGCCUCCUGCAUCUGUAGCUGUGGAAAGUCUACCGACGCUUCAAAGAUUAUGUCAGAUAUCCCAUUCUUUUUGUACUUCUUUGAUUACAAAAAUACAAAUUAAAUAUGAAUUGAGGAUCCACCAUGUGCCAGGAACUAAUAAACAUAAUAAAUGAGAUUCAGAGAUGAAAAUACAUAUAUAUAUACCACUCUGCUGAAGAUAUGCACAGUAUAACUGAGUGAAGUUCAUCUGGGAUACUUUGUGUAGCUGCA